UACGUAGGAGGCAAGCGUUGUCCGGAAUUACUGGGCGUAAAGCGCGUGUAGGUGGUGGGACAAGUCUGCUGUGAAAGCGCCUGGCUUAACCGGGCGAGGUCGGCGGAAACUGCCUCACUUGAGGACGGUAGAGGGGGGUGGAAUUCCCGGUGUAGUGGUGAAAUGCGUAGAGAUCGGGAAGAACACCAGUGGCGAAAGCGCUCUACUGGGCCAUGACUGACACUGAGGGACGAAAGCUAGGGGAGCGAAAGGG
rnacentral:rRNA from 1 species